rnacentral:tRNA from 1 species
GGAGGGGUGGCUGAGCGGUUGAAAGCAACUCACUGCUAAUGAGUUGAGGGGCCAAAAGCCCCUCCCCGGGUUCAAAUCCCGGCCCCUCCGCCA